UACGUAGGGCGCAAGCGUUGUCCGGAAUUAUUGGGCGUAAAGAGCUCGUAGGCGGUCCGUUGCGUCUGCCGUGAAAACCCGGGGCUCAACCCCGGGCCUGCAUUCGAUACGGGCAGACUAGAGUUCGGUAGGGGAGACUGGAAUUCCUGGUGUAGCGGUGAAAUGCGUAGAGAUCGGGAGGAACAUCAGUGGCGAAGGCGGCCAUCUGGAUCAACACUGACGCUGAGGCACGAAAGCGUGGGGAGCAAACAGG
rnacentral:rRNA from 1 species